rnacentral:misc_RNA from 1 species
UCCGGUUUGGCACCGGCAGUCGGACUAGAGUCCCCGACUUUACUCGCUGGCAACUAGUCCCAAGGGUUGCGCUCGUUGCGGGACUUAACCCAACAUCUCACGACACGAGCUGACGACGGCCAUGCAGCACCUGUGCACGAGCUCCGAAGAGCCCCGCAGGUUUCCCCACGAGUUCCCGUACAUGUCAAGGGUAGGUAAGGUUUUUCGCGUUGCAUCGAAUUAAUCCACAUAAUCCACCGCUUGUGCGGGUCCCCGUCAAUUCCUUUGAGUUUUAAUCUUGCGACCGUACUUCCCAGGCGGCACGUUUAACGCGUUGGCUACGCCACAAAAGGGGUCGAAUCCUUUUACAGCAAACGUGCACCGUUUACGGCUAGGACUAC